rnacentral:rRNA from 1 species
ACUCCUACGGGAGGCAGCAGUGGGGAAUAUUGCACAAUGGGGGAAACCCUGAUGCAGCCAUGCCGCGUGUGUGAAGAAGGCCUUCGGGUUGUAAAGCACUUUCAGUAGGGAGGAAGGUAGUNUAGUUAAGCAUACCUUGCAUUUAGUUUAGACGUUUUAACCCGUUAACAGGAAAGAAGCAACCGGGCUAACUCCCGGUGCCAGCAGCCGCGGUAAUACGGAGGGUGCGAGCGUUAAUCGGAAUUACUGGGCGUAAAGCGCAUGCAGGUGGUUUGUUAAGUCAGAUGUGAAAGCCCAGGGCUCAACCUCGGAAUUGCAUUUGAAACUGGCGACUAGAGUACUGUAGAGGGGGGUAGAAUUUCAGGUGUAGCGGUGAAAUGCGUAGAGAUCUGAAGGAAUACCGGUGGCGAAGGCGGCCCCCUGGACAGAUACUGACACUCAGAUGCGAAAGCGUGGGGAGCAAAUAGGAUUAGAUACCCUGGUAGGAUAGC